rnacentral:rRNA from 1 species
CGGACGGGUGAGUAACGCGUGGGGAACCUGCCCUGUACCGGGGGAUAGCAGCCGGAAACGGCUGAUAAUACCGCAUAAGCGCACGAAUGUCGCAUGACAUGGUGUGAAAAAACUCCGGUGGUAUAGGAUGGACCCGCGUCUGAUUAGCCUGUUGGUGGGGUAAAAGCCUACCAAAGCGAAGAUCAGUAGCCGAGUUGAGAGACUGACCGGCCACAUUGGGACUGAGACACGGCCCAGACUCCUACGGGAGGCAGCAGCU